UCAAUUACUUGUAGAUGAUGUUGGGGU
rnacentral:piRNA from 1 species